CACCCGUUCCCAUACCGAACACGGAAGUUAAGCUCUUCAGCGCCGAUGGUAGUUGGGACUUUGUCCCUGUGAGAGUAGGACGUCGCUAGGC
rnacentral:rRNA from 1 species